CCAAAUCUCAAUUGUAAAGAAAAAGCUCGGCAGCCACUAAGAGAGCCUUUGCCCUAGAAAACGGAACGAGAACGCUCAAAACACAAACACAAACCUUAGUUGCGUACUUUGGAGCUGAGCUUAAACCCUAUUCAUCAUCAUCUUCCACCUUCUGAGCUUUACAUUCACGACCACUCUUUUUACCCCCCUUCCGUCGUCAAUUUUCGCUGCUCUUUUUGCGUUUUUCAAUCUGAUAAGCAAUAAAGUUUUUAAGUUUGUGAAGCCGUUUGGUACAUUGUCUUGUGCAAAUUUGGAAUGGAUUUCGAUGAGUAUGAUUAUUUAGAGAAGACAGUUGAAAACCCUGAACCACUCCAGAAAGCUAAGGAAACUGCUAAUGGUAGUGAUGAAGUUGUAAAAUCUUCUGGAGAGAAAGAUCGUAGUAGGAGUUCAAAACAUAAAAAUGAUGCAAAGGAUAAUGAGGGAGAGCAUCGCCCAAAGCGUUCAAAAAUUGAUGAGCUGCGCGAACAUAAUAGGCGUAGAGAAAGUGGCUCAUCUCGGCACCGCUCACAGUCCAGAGAUGGAGAAAGGGAACGGCACAAGAGUAGCCGGGAGCAUAGAGAUAGGGAGGACAGGGAGAAAGAUAGGGAGGAGAGAAAUGGGAGGGAUAGAGAUAAAGAGAAGGAUCGUGAUCGAGACAGAGAAAGAGACAGGGAAAGGAGAGAACGUGAUCGCGAAGGUGACAAGGAAAGGGAAAAGGAAAAGGACAGGGAGAUGGAGAGAGAUAGGUCUCGCCGAAGCUUGAGUCAUUCGGAAAGACAUCGAAGUGACCGAGAAGAAAGAGAGAGGAGUCGGGACAGAGAUAGAGAAAGAGAUAAAGAGAAGGAAUUGAGGGAACGGGACAAAGAAAGCAGACGGCAUAAAGAGAAAAAAGAUGAAGCGACAGAACCAGAGGCUGACCCAGAACGGGAUCAGAGGACAGUAUUUGCUUAUCAGAUUUGUCUUAAAGCUGAUGAAAGAGAUGUCUAUGAGUUCUUCUCGAGGGCGGGCAAGGUUCGAGAUGUGCGCCUCAUCAUGGACCGUAAUUCAAGACGUUCUAAGGGAGUUGGGUAUAUCGAGUUCUAUGAUGCAAUGUCAGUACCUAUGGCAAUUGCACUCUCUGGUCAGCCUCUUCUUGGUCAACCAGUAAUGGUGAAGCCAUCAGAAGCUGAAAAGAAUCUCGUUCAAUCAACUACUGCAGUGGCUGCUGGAACAAGUGGGCUUAUAGGCCCAUAUUCUGGUGGUGCUAGGAGACUUUAUGUUGGCAAUCUGCAUUCCAAUAUAAAAGAAGAAGAUCUACGCCAGGUAUUUGGAGCAUUUGGUCCUGUGGAACUGGUGCAAUUGCCUCUUGAUGAAGCUGGGCAGUGUAAAGGUUUUGGAUUUGUUCAGUUUUCACGUCUUGAAGAUGCACGAAAUGCAUUGAGUUUGAAUGGGCAGUUGGAGAUUGGAGGUCGAACAAUUAAGGUGUCGGCAGUUACUGAUCAAGCAGGAAUGCAAGAUCUUGGAGUCAAUACUGGUGAUUUUGAUGAUGAUGAUGGAGGUGGCUUGUCGCUGAAUGCACGAUCUCGAGCACUACUCAUGCAGAAAUUGGAUCGUAGUGGCACCUCAUCGAGCAUUGCUGGUUCCCUUGGAACUCCUGUUAGUAGCACUGGACUCGCUCUAUCAACAGCACCGAUUCUGGGAGCUGCACCAGUGAUUUCUCCCCUUGUUGCUCCCCUAGCCCCUGUUCCUCCUGUUUUUGCUGGACUUGGUGGUGCAGGUCUUCAAGUUCCAACUGCCAGUGUUCCUUCUAUAGAUACAAUUGGUGUUCCAAGUGAAUGUUUGCUAUUAAAAAAUAUGUUUGAUCCAGCACUUGAGACGGAACCAAACUUUGAUUUGGAUAUCAAAGAAGAUGUUCAGGACGAAUGUUCAAAGUUUGGAAAUCUGAAACAUAUAUAUGUAGACAAGAAUAGUGUAGGUUUUGUAUAUCUCCGGUUUGAAAAUACACAAGCUUCAAUGGCUGCACAACGUGCUCUCCAUGGAAGGUGGUUUGCUGGGAAGAUGAUCACUGCAACUUACAUGUUACCCCAAAAUUACGAAGCUCAAUUCCCUGACAGCAGAUAGAGAUUGAGAUUUUGCAUGUGCAAUAUUAGUCCAAAAGAUGGUCCAUAUGUGAGUAUGCAGGUACAAAUGCAAAUGGAAAAUGAUCGUCGUGAAAGUUAGUCAUAGGAGCAGAGCAGGUGCAUUUGUUAUUUUUGGGGCCAUGAGAAUUUAGAUAUCAUCUUUUGUAAACUAAUUGCUGUCGAGAUUUUGAAAAUGUCAAGAGGCGACUUUAAACAUAUUUUUGUGGUUUAAAAUGAUGAUAUUUGGGUACCAUUGCGAGUAAUGUUUAAAAAACCAAAUUAUUCAGCUUUUUAUUUUCAAAA